AUUGAACGCUGGCGGCAUGCCUUACACAUGCAAGUCGAACGGCAGCACGGGGGCAACCUGGUGGCGAGUGGCGAACGGGUGAGUAAUGCAUCGGAACGUACCUUUCAGUGGGGGAUAACGUAGCGAAAGUUACGCUAAUACCGCAUAUUCUGUGAGCAGGAAAGCAGGGGAUCGCAAGACCUUGCGCUGAUUGAGCGGCCGAUGUCAGAUUAGCUAGUUGGUGAGGUAAAGGCUCACCAAGGCGACGAUCUGUAGCGGGUCUGAGAGGAUGAUCCGCCACACUGGAACUGAGACACUGUCCAGACUCCUACGGGAGUCAGCAGUGGGGAAUUUUGGCCAAUGGGGGCAACCCUGAUCCAGCCAUGCCGCGUGAGUGAAGAAGGCCUUCGGGUUGUAAAGCUCUUUCGGUCGGGAAGAAAUCGCACGGGCUAAUACCCUGUGUGGAUGACGGUACCGGAAUAAGAAGCACCGGCUAACUACGUGCCAGCCGCCGCGGUAAGAC
rnacentral:rRNA from 1 species